rnacentral:rRNA from 1 species
UACAGAAGUCUCAAGCGUUGUUCGGAUUCAUUGGGCGUAAAGGGUGCGUAGGUGGCGCUGUAAGUCGGGUGUGAAAUUUCGGAGCUUAACUCCGAAACUGCAUUCGAUACUGCGGUGCUUGAGGACUGGAGAGGAGACUGGAAUUCAUGGUGUAGCAGUGAAAUGCGUAGAGAUCAUGAGGAAGACCAGUGGCGAAGGCGGGUCUCUGGACAGUUCCUGACACUGAGGCACGAAGGCCAGGGGAGCAAACGGG